rnacentral:rRNA from 1 species
GAUGAACGCUGGCGGCGUGCCUAAUACAUGCAAGUCGAGCGAACAGACGAGGAGCUUGCUCCUCUGACGUUAGCGGCGGACGGGUGAGUAACACGUGGAUAACCUACCUAUAAGACUGGGAUAACUUCGGGAAACCGGAGCUAAUACCGGAUAAUAUAUUGAACCGCAUGGUUCAAUAGUGAAAGACGGUUUUGCUGUCACUUAUAGAUGGAUCCGCGCCGCAUUAGCUAGUUGGUAAGGUAACGGCUUACCAAGGCAACGAUGCGUAGCCGACCUGAGAGGGUGAUCGGCCACACUGGAACUGAGACACGGUCCAGACUCCGACGGGAGGCAGCAGUAGGGAAUCUUCCGCAAUGGGCGAAAGCCUGACGGAGCAACGCCGCGUGAGUGAUGAAGGUCUGCGGAUCGUAAAACGCUGUUAUUAGGGAAGAACAAAUGUGUAAGUAACUAUGCACGUCUUGACGGUACCUAAGCAGAAAGCCACGGCUAACUACGU